rnacentral:rRNA from 1 species
GACGAACGCUGGCGGCGUGCUUAACACAUGCAAGUCGAACGGAAAGGCCCUGCUUUUGUGGGUUGCUCGAGUGGCGAACGGGUGAGUAACACGUGAGUAACCUGCCCUUGACUUUGGGAUAACUUCAGGAAACUGGGGCUAAUACCGGAUAGGAGCUCCUGCUGCAUGGUGGGGGUUGGAAAGUUUCGGCGGUUGGGGAUGGACUCGCGGCUUAUCAGCUUGUUGGUGGGGUAGUGGCUUACCAAGGCUUUGACGGGUAGCCGGCCUGAGAGGGUGACCGGACACAUUGGGACUGAGAUACGGCACAGACUCCUACGGGAGGCAGCAGUGGGGAAUAUUGCACAAUGGGCGGAAGCCUGAUGCAGCAACGCCGCGUGCGGGAUGACGGCCUUCGGGUUGUAAACCGCUUUCGCCUGUGACGAAGCGUGAGUGACGGUAAUGGGUAAAGAAGCACCGGCUAACUACGUG